GGGGCUGAUUCUGGAUUCGACGGGAUUUGCGAAACCCAAGGUGCAUGCCGAGGGGCGGUUGGCCUCGUAAAAAGCCGCAAAAAAAUAGUCGCAAACGACGAAAACUACGCUUUAGCAGCUUAAUAACCUGCUUAGAGCCCUCUCUCCCUAGCCUCCGCUCUUAGGACGGGGAUCAAGAGAGGUCAAACCCAAAAGAGAUCGCGCGGAUGCCUUGCCUGGGGUUGAAGCGUUAAAACGAAUCAGGCUAGUCUGGUAGUGGCGUGUCCGUCCGCAGGUGCCAGGCGAAUGUAAAGACUGACUAAGCAUGUAGUACCGAGGAUGUAGGAAUUUCGGACGCGGGUUCAACUCCCGCCAGCUCCACCA
rnacentral:tmRNA from 12 species